AAAAGCCGGAACUUGGGAGCCAGGGGGUCAUUCUCGGCUUUGCUGCGGCUGGGACCUAGAUUCAAAAGAGCUUCCGGAAA
ensembl:misc_RNA predicted gene, 27898